GAACCUGAGAGUUUGAUCCUGGCUCAGAACGAACGCUGGCGGCAUGCCUAACACAUGCAAGUCGAACGGAGGCUUCGGCCUCAGU
rnacentral:rRNA from 1 species